AUUGAACGCUGGCGGCAGGCCUAACACAUGCAAGUCGAGCGAGCGGCGGACGGGUGAGUAAAGUCUGGGGAACAGCCUGAGGGAGGGGGAUAACAACGGGAAACGGGGGCUAAUACCGCAUACGCUCAGAUGUGCCCAGGUGGGAUUAGCGAGUGGGUGGGUGAACGGCUCACAUAGGCGACGAUCGCGAGCGGGUCUGAGAGGAUGACCAGCCACACUGGAACUGAGCAACGGUCCAGACUCCUCCGGGAGGCAGCAGUGGGGAAUAUUGCACAAUGGGAGCAAGCCUGAUGCAGCCAUGCCGGGGGUGGGAAGAAGGCCUGCGGGUUGUAAAGCACUUUCAGCGGGGAGGCGUUACCCGCAGAAGAAGCACCGGCUAACUCCGUGCCAGCAGCCGCGGUAAUUC
rnacentral:rRNA from 1 species